UACGGGGGGGGCAAGCGUUGUUCGGAAUUACUGGGCGUAAAGGGCGCGUAGGCGGUUCGCUAAGUUGAAUGUGAAAACUCUGGGCUUAACCCAGAGCCUGCAUCCAAAACUGGCGAACUGGAGUACUGGAGGGGAAAGCGGAAUUCCUGGUGUAGCGGUGAAAUGCGUAGAUAUCAGGAGGAACACCGGUGGCGAAGGCGGUUCUCUGGGCAUGUCCUGACGCUGAGGAGCGAAAGUGUGGGGAGCGAACAGG
rnacentral:rRNA from 1 species